rnacentral:lncRNA from 1 species
UGUUUACAAUGUCAACCCAAAAGUACAUUGUCACAUAAUUUAAGUGCGGAAAUUCCAACUCAUUUCUUGACAGUAGAAGAUUUGAAUGAAUUUAAACUUAAAAUGUUAAACAACUCUCACGUGUCGGUGGAAAGUCACCUAAAUAUAUGUUUAAGGACCUAAUUCAAAGAUUGAUGUCAAAUGAGCUUCAGACAAAAUUCAACAUGAUUGGUUUAAAUGGAAACCUUAAGUUUGAAAAUACUUUGUUGUAUAAUGUAAUAAGUAGCGAGUUUGUUUAUAGGUUGUUUUUU